CUCUCACCAGAACCCAACCAUGCUGGCACCUUGGUCCCAGAUUUCCAGCCUCCAUAACUACCUCGGUGACUUCCUCCUUUGGCCUCCCCUGGUCUUCACUCUGUGACAUGACAUGCCGCCUCCUCCAGGGAACUGUAACAAGCUGUCUGUCCAAUAGCAGGGAUCUCCUCAUCUGUUGGCCUUACUAUAUGUGAAUUAAUGAUAAAACCUACAUCUUAAACGACUGUGCUGUUAUAACCAGUGGAGCACUCAUUAAAGACCAGUAAAGGAAUGGGAAAGUCAUCUUAACUUAAAGGAUGGACAAACCAUGGAAAACAUGGUUUCCUUUCGAUGCUGAAUCUGUCCCCUCUUCAUCCCAGAGAGAGAAAGAUGUGACAGGACCUGCAGAACAUGUAGAUCUCCUCAAGCAACCAGCUACCUGGACAUAACCAGUGCCUGUCUUUACCCUCUCACUGGCAGAAAAUCAGAGAAAGAGAGGGGGAGAGAAAAAGAGAGCACCAGGAAGAUGGCUAGGCUGCACAAACUGUUUGUUCCAGAAGACUGAAGGUGCAAGAAGAGUCAGGACUUCCCUUGACACCUUUUAUAGCAGGCCUAAGGCAUGGAUCAGGAAUGUCAAGUUCUGGUUCAUCAUGGCGUUGAGGGCAUUUGUAAAUACAGUUCUCUUCCUCCAGCUUGAAUCUGGGAAAGAUUGAAGUAGCUUCCUUUGAUUCUAAGAGUGAAACACUAG